UGGCCUUAGAUGAUUUUAGUGCUUGCACUAAAUGAAACUAGAUACAAGCGAGCGGCGGACGGGUGAGUAACACGUGGGUAACCUGCCCAAGAGACUGGGAUAACACCUGGAAACAGAUGCUAAUACCGGAUAACAACACUAGACGCAUGUCUAGAGUUUGAAAGAUGGUUCUGCUAUCACUCUUGGAUGGACCUGCGGUGCAUUAGCUAGUUGGUAAGGUAACGGCUUACCAAGGCAAUGAUGCAUAGCCGAGUUGAGAGACUGAUCGGCCACAUUGGGACUGAGACACGGCCCAAACUCCUACGGGAGGCAGCAGUAGGGAAUCUUCCACAAUGGACGAAAGUCUGAUGGAGCAACGCCGCGUGAGUGAAGAAGGGUUUCGGCUCGUAAAGCUCUGUUGGUAGUGAAGAAAGAUAGAGGUAGUAACUGGCCUUUAUUUGACGGUAAUUACUUAGAAAGUCACGGCUAACUACGUGCCAGCAGCCGCGGUAAUACGUAGGUGGCAAGCGUUGUCCGGAUUUAUUGGGCGUAAAGCGAGUGCAGGCGGUUCAAUAAGUCUGAUGUGAAAGCCUUCGGCUCAACCGGAGAAUUGCAUCAGAGACUGUUGAACUUGAGUGCAGAAGAGGAGAGUGGAACUCCAUGUGU
rnacentral:rRNA from 1 species